AGAUUGAACGCUGGCGGCAGGCCUAACACAUGCAAGUCGAGCGGCAGCACGGGUACUUGUACCUGGUGGCGAGCGGCGGACGGGUGAGUAAUGCCUAGGAAUCUGCCUGAUAGUGGGGGAUAACGUUCGGAAACGGACGCUAAUACCGCAUACGUCCUACGGGAGAAAGUGGGGAUCUUCGGACCUCACGCUAUCAGAUGAGCCUAGGUCGAUUAGCUAGUUGGUGAGGUAAUGGCACACCAAGGCGACGAUCCGUAACUGGUCUGAGAGGAUGAUCAGUCACACUGGAACUGAGACCACGGUCCAGACUCCGUACGGGAGCAGCAGUGGGAAUAUGGAACAAGUGGGACGAAAGCCGUAGACUCCAGCCAGUCGCCGCGUGUGUAG
rnacentral:rRNA from 1 species